UACAGAGGGGGCAAGCGUUGUUCGGAAUUACUGGGCGUAAAGGGCGCGUAGGCGGCCGCCUAAGUCAGACGUGAAAUCCCUCGGCUCAACCGGGGAACUGCGUCUGAUACUGGGUGGCUUGAAUCCGGGAGAGGGAUGCGGAAUUCCGUGGUGUAGCGGUGGAAUGCGCAGAUAUCAGGAGGAACACCGGUGGCGAAGGCGGGUCUCUGGGCAGUGAACUGACGUGGAGGAGCGAAAGCGUGGGGAGCGAACAGG
rnacentral:rRNA from 1 species